UACGAAGGGGGCGAGCGUUGUUCGGAAUUACUGGGCGUAAAGGGCGCGUAGGCGGCCCCUUUUGUCGCGUGUGAAAGCCCCGGGCUCAACCUGGGAAGUGCGCGCGAAACGGGGGGGCUUGAGUUCGGGAGAGGAGAGUGGAAUUCCCAGUGUAGAGGUGAAAUUCGUAGAUAUUGGGAAGAACACCGGUGGCGAAGGCGGCUCUCUGGACCGAGACUGACGCUGAGGCGCGAAAGCGUGGGGAGCAAACAGG
rnacentral:rRNA from 1 species